GUGCUCGCUUCAGCAGCACAUAUGCUAAAAUUGGAAAGAUACAAAGGAGAUUAGCAUGGUCCCUGAGCAAGGAUGACUUGCAUAAGAAAAAGAAAGAAAGAAAGAGA